rnacentral:rRNA from 1 species
AUUGAACGCUGGCGGCAGGCCUAACACAUGCAAGUCGAGCGAGCGUCGGACGGGUGAGUAAUGUAUGGGGACUGCCCGCUAGAGGGGGAUAACUCCUGGAAACGGUUUCUAAUACCGCAUAUUCUCUGAUAAUCCACAUGGGAUUAUCUCGUUGGUGGGGUAAUGGCUCACCAAGGCGACGCUCCCUAGCUGGUCUGAGAGGAUGAUCAGCCACACUGGAACUGAGACACGGCCCAGACUCCUACGGAGGCAGCAGUGGGGAAUAUUGCACAAUGGGCGCAAGCCUGAUGCAGCCAUGCCGCGUGUAUGAAGAAGGCCCUAGGGUUGUAAAGUACUUUCAGUCGGGAGGCGUUACCGACAGAAGAAGCACCGGCUAACUCCGUGCCAGCAGCCGCGGUAAUAC